UACGGGAGGCAGCAGUGGGGAAUCUUCCGCAAUGGGCGAAAGCCUGACGGAGCAACGCCGCGUGAGUGAAGAAGGGUUUCGGCUCGUAAAGCUCUGUUGACGGGGACGAAUGUGCGAAAUGCGAAUAGUUUUCCGCAAUGACGGUACCCGUCGAGGAAGCCACGGCUAACUACGUGCCAGCAGCCGCGGUAAU
rnacentral:rRNA from 1 species